AACGAACGCUGGCGGCAUGCCUAACACAUGCAAGUCGAACGAGACCUUCGGGUCUAGUGGCGCACGGGUGCGUAACGCGUGGGAACCUGCCCUUAGGUUCGGAAUAACUCCCCGAAAGGGGUGCUAAUACCGGGUAAUGUCUUCGGACCAAAGAUUUAUCGCCUUUGGAUGGGCCCGCGUUGGAUUAGCUAGUUGGUAGGGUAAAAGCCUACCAAGGCGACGAUCCAUAGCUGGUCUGAGAGGAUGAUCAGCCACACUGGGACUGGGACACGGCCCAGACUCCUACGGGAGGCAGCAGUGGGGAAUAUUGGACAAUGGGCGAAAGCCUGAUCCAGCAAUGCCGCGUGAGUGAUGAAGGCCUUAGGGUUGUAAAGCUCUUUUACCCGGGAUGAUAAUGACAGUACCGGGAGAAUAAGCUCCGGCUAACUCCGUG
rnacentral:rRNA from 1 species